CUAGGGCAGCAGCAGCAACAAGCUUACCCCUUAUCAAAGGGAGUGCUAAGAGAAUAUGCUUUCAUGCAACGCUUGAGGCUUCACCGUCCACAGAUGAUUUAUUUAAAAAUGAACAGUCACACCUCUCUUCACUGGCACUUCCUGUCGACAUUGAAUACUAUAGCUGGUGUACGUUACAUUUCCUCUUUCGCGGUUGUGCAAGGACUUCAAGUAACUGUGACUCACUGCGAAUGCACUGGCAAGGUCUCACUAGGUCACGGUCUUCCUGCUCCCUCUCCUGUGUUGCUGAGUCUUACAAGCAUGCAACGCUGAACCCAGCACCAGGGACCUUCGUUAAAGAUGACAAGAUGCAAAAUGCACCUG